rnacentral:lncRNA from 1 species
AUGUGGGCCCCACCCUUGUUCUUCCUGCUAAAUCACCAGGCAAACCAGAGGCCCUGUUGCCAAGGACAGGCGUUAGCCUUGACACGCCCCCACCCAGACCAGGGCUCACAGCCCCCUGCUCCAGGCAGCCCUGGCUUCCCACAGACCCCUCCUGACCCUCGUCUCUCACAGAAUGUUCUUCUGCUGCAGGAAUAUGAACUGAAACGUGUUUUGGACCUUCCGGGUUUCUUCUAUUCUCUUCAGAGAGAACACCGCCACCACCUGCGUGUGCCUUGGUCAGAACCACAGUCUCGUCACUCAGCCGGGGAUCAGGAGUGUCCCCGGGCAGCUGGGGAAACUUCCUCCGGCUCUGGCUCCGUGUUCCCUUCCUGUUUGCAUUUUCUGAGCCCCGAGAGGCUGUCAGAGCAGGCCUGCCAGGUACUCUUUCUUAGCUGUAAAAAGGGGGGUUUCACCCAAGUCAAGACUUGAAGAUACAGUACUAUCCGAGUAACUUACUUUUAUCAGUUAGGCCACAAUCAUUGGAAAAAUGUCUUUUGAGCCUGAAGGUCUAAACAGAUGCUUCUAUCAGUGCAGCCGCAUCAACAUUAUAUAGUCUAUUCAGACGGGCCCUUCUGUUCCUCCAUGCCUCAGAUUCUCUGUGGUGAUGGCGCUGAGGCUGGGAGCUCCUUUGUGGUUCCCAGGUGACUCUAACAGGCUCCCCGAAUCCGUUCAUUCACAUAACAGAGCCCCAGAUGGGACCAGCGGCGCUGUUCUCCCCUCCCCAUCCAGAUUCUUCAGCACACAGCCUACGGCCUGCAAGCUCUCUGAGGGUCCACAAAAAUAUUGGAGACUGAAGAAAAAGCAUCAGCUCCCUCUAUGACUUAGAGCAGAAUCCCACGUCAUGAGAUACAUGCGUUCAUUUUAAUGUCUCUGAGAAUAAGGCUGCCUGGGGCCUGCCCACAGACAGCUUCCAGCUGGGAGGUGGGAGGAGAUGUGCAGACACCCCCCGGGGGGAAUGUCAGGCGGCACCAUGAGGCAGGAAACUUGGGCAGGUGUGAACCCAGGGCUCAGGGCAGCCCAGGGAGGGUGGUACAGAGCAGAGAACAGUAAGUAGGAAAGGGUAUUCUAGGCCGAGGGACCCGCAGCUGCUAAGGCCCAGAGGUGUUGGAGGAGCCCCGUGCAGCUGAUAACUCGGAGGUGGCCGCUGAGCGGGUGUAGGGGCCGGGGCUGCCACAGGCAUCCCAGGGCAUUCGGCAACAUCCCUGGCCCCUACCCACUAGCAUCCUCCCCAUUACGACGACCAGAAAUGUCUCAGACAUCGCCAGAUGCCCCCGACUGAGCACACCCGCUGCACAGGGAUGUGGUGGACAGCUGGGGUCUGACCACCUGCCCCUGCCCAAGGCGGGGUGUGGGGGAGCCCUUUCUUCUCGCCUCCUGUCCAGUGCGCAGGUCCCGGGGAGCCCUCUCUGGGCAGGUCUGUGCCCGUCCU